UGCUAGGGGAGCUUUUGCUGAGAUUUGCCAUAAAAAUGGCUAAACCCUCAUUACCUGAUACGGUUAAUACCGUCGUAGGGAAGCAAUAAAG
rnacentral:ncRNA from 1 species